AGUCCUGUGGCGCAGUGGUAGCGCGCCGUUCUUAUAAGAUUCGUCAGACUCUUAUGGCCAUACAUCCAUCGUGGUUAUGCGGAUGCCGUGGGUUCGACCCCCACCAGGACUA
rnacentral:tRNA from 1 species